CUCCCCACACCUAAAAGCAACACGUAAAUCUAGUUCUCCUUAUUAUUAUCUAACAUGUAACACCACCCAAAAGAAAUCAUAAAAAAAAAAGGGUUGAGGAACAGAGAGAGAUAAAAGGAUUCGACAAUGUAUGAGGGCAAUCUAGAAGAAAGAGUUUCUAGAAUCAUAGCUCUCCCGCACUGUGUAAGUGCGGUCAGGCAGUAGAACACUCUAGAGUCACAGGGCUCCGGUACUGUGUAAGUAUGGUUCAACAGUGGAAUACUCUAGAGUCACGCUCCGCCACUGUAAGCAAGGGCUUUGGCAUUGUGUAAGUGCGUUUCGGAACACUAUAGAGUCACAAGGCCCCGACAUUGUUUAAGUACAGUUUGGCAAUGGAUUAAGCGCUCCGACAUUGUGUAAGUACACUCUAACAGGCACUCCGGCAUUGUCUAAGUGUGGUCUGACAGUGGAAUACUUUGGAGUCACAAAGCUCCGACACUGUGUAAGUGUGAUAUGAUAGUGGAACAUUUUGGAGUUAGUCAGACAAAGUUUAUAGAAUAUUGGGUUCGACAAUGCGAUGGUGUGCUCCCCCGACACUAUGUAAGUCCAUUCUGACAAGGUUUCUAAAAUAUUGGGUUCGGUAAUGCGAUGGUCUGCUUCGGCAAUGUGUUACUAAGGUCUAAAAGUCAAUGUCAAAUCUGGCCAAAUUGAUUUUUAUGUACAAGAAAGGUAUUUCCAUCUAAAAUGUUGUUUUAAUGUUGAAUAAACCCUUUAAACGAUCAUCACAUUGAGAUGUAUGAAUAUGACAAUAAAAAAAGGUUUUUGAAUUUCAAAAAUAAGUAUAUCUUGCAACACAUUAUCUAGACCAUCCAUUUUCAAGAUUUUCAUAUAUUUAUAAAUCUACUUGAUUUUAACCAUUUUUGAAAUUUAAAAUUUUCUAAUUAGAUAUAAAAAUAGAUUUUCGGAUAAUACUAAAAAGUUUUUAUAACAAAAUUACAUGUUACGAUUAAAUUUUAAGGUGCGAGAUUGUUUGAGGUUGCAUCCUAUAGAAACAACACGCUUUUUUGAAAUUGCAAAGAUUUAGUAUUUUCAAUUCCCAAUUUUCAAUUUUGUUUGAACCU
rnacentral:lncRNA from 1 species